CUAUCUCUAAAACUUUAUCUUUUGGUUUCCUUUUGCUGGUGAGUUUGGGCUUAGCUUCGGCGGCCCGAUCUCUUCUUUCUUACGAUAUUCCUCCUCAUCGAUCUGGAUACGAUAAUUAUGAUCAUCCUGUAGUUAACCCUAAAGUAGGAUACGAACAUGACCGUCGUGAUGGAUACUACCAUGACCGUGACCAUCAUGAUGCACCUUAUGGUGGUGGUGCUGGUGGAGGAUAUGGAGCUGGAGCUGGAGCUGGCUCAUCUCUUGGAGGCUCUGGAUAUGGAAGUGGAGGAGGUGGUGGUUCUGGAUAUGGAGGUGUAGGAAACCACGAGGUUGGUUAUGGUAGUGGUGGAGGGGGUGGAUAUGGAGCUGGAGUUGGCUCUGACCUUGGUGGUAGCGGAUACGGAAGCGGUGGUGGUGGAGGCAGUGGAGGAGGAUACGGUGAUUUAGGAGGACGUGGAAAAGGGUACGGUAGCGGUGGAGGUGGAGGAAGUGGAUAUGGAGGUAGAGGAGACCAUGGAGUUGGUUAUGGAAGUGGUGGAGGUGGAGGAUAUGGAAGUGGAGUAGGUGGUGGUGCAGGAGUGGUAGACCAUGGUGUAGGUUAUGGGAGUGGAGGAGGAGGUGGGGCUGGUAGUGGUUAUGGUGGUUCCAAAGGAUAUGGAGGUGGAAGCGGCGGCGGUGGGGGAGCCGGUUAUGGUGGUGGAGCACAUGGAAGUGGAUAUGGAAGUGGUGGUGGAGCUGGAAGUGGUGAAGAAGGAGGAUAUGAUGGUGGAUAUGCACCGUAAACAAAGAAAAGAAAAGAAAAAGCUCAAAGUUUUAUGGCUAAAAUGAGAAUGCUUACCCUAAUAUCAUCAAUGUGUGUGUGUGUUAGCAAAAAAAAAAAAUAAAAGAAUUUGGGUAAGAAAUGUUAUAUUAAUUAUCUUUGAGCUUUUAAGUAAUUUGAAUGUAAUAUAAUAUAUAUAUAAAAAAAGCUAAUCCAUGUGUUCCAAAGUGAACCAACAUGAAGUAUAUUUUCUCCCUUUGUCAUCAUGAUCAUCUUAAACUUGUGGUUAUUAUGUGGGCUCUCAUUAUUAUUCCAAGAUAGCAACGUCGGGAUAUUCAAAUAUUUUUCAUAUGUAAUGUCUUAAGACUAAAUCACUAUGAUCUAUAUGCUUUAAUUAAGUUCAAAACUAUUUUGGAAGCAUUAUGAUUAAUAUAUUGAUUACUUAAAUACUAUUAUAUGGUUUUCAAGGUAACUUGAUGUUGUUAAUAAAAGAAAUCUUUAAUAUUUAAUCAGUCCUUUCUCUUAAAAUUUAGUAAAAAUAAAUACUAAAAUGGUAUGAUGUUUUAUGGUUGGAUUUGGGGUAUGUGUUUUGGCUUGUCCCUCUAGUUGUGACUUGUUCAAAAUAAGUGUACAAUCAAAUUCACUUGGGUUAUUAAAGACAAUUGAUAAACAAAAAUUGCCAAAACGAUAGAGCAUAACUAUUUAAUCGGUAUAAAACUUGUACAAUCCAUUAAUCAUAAUAUACUUUUUCUAAUUGAUCUCUAAUUGAUCGUACAUACUAGUUAGUGUCGAUAAAAAACUCAAUUUGACGUAUAAAUAUUUGUUUGUUGUAAAUGAACAUCUAAGUAUAUUCUUGAUUAAUUAUUCUUAUACUAAGAGUAACAUUGACCCCUCUAUUCUUUAGUAUUUGGUUAAAAGAAUAAAAAAUUAGUAAGUGAUGAAUCUUAGUGUGCUAUAGGUUGAUCAACCAAUUAAAAUUAGUCGUUUCAAGCAAUACUUUCGAAAAAAUUCAUUAAAUAGGAGUUAUUUAAACUAUCAACCCUGAGUUUUUAUACAUUACAAUAAAUUUAAUCUUUGAUGUCGGUCAAAAACUAAUAUAUAGGAGUACAAUAUAGAUCACCAGAUCGAUAUGGAAGACAAUGUUAUGGAAGAUGUUCAAUGUUAAUCACUUUUAUGUUCGUUUUGGUCUUGGCAUUAUAAAUAAUUUAAAUGGUAGUUUUUGCUCACACUACAAAUGUGUUAGACUAUUAGUCAUCAAAUAGUUUGAAUUCCUUGUAAAAAAAAUUAGUUGAAACAAAAAUAAAUAAUUAUCUUUGCAUUAAAAUAAAAUAAAAUAAAUAAAAUAGAUUUUUUUGUGAAUAUUUUGGUCAGGUGUUCUAUUUUUUAUAAUUUCCCAUAAAAAAUAUGUGUAAUAAGUUAUUUAAAAUACUAAUAGUAUUAAUUAGUUUACUUAAUAAAUCAAUUAUAUCUCUAAAUGAUAUUUUGGUAGAUUUAAAAAUAUUUUGAUUCAUUUUGCUAUAUUUGAAAAAGAAACCAUAAAAUUCUACUUCAUAUUCGCAAUAGAUCAUGGUAAACUUAGAUAGGCAUCUAUUAUUUAUAUAUAUGGUGAUAGAUACUUAUGUAUCUAUAUCCAAGCCCAUCAUCUAAAUAUUUUCAAAUGGUUUUCAAUUGAAAACAAAUUUCUCAAUAAGUAAUUAAAAAUUAGGUUUUUAUUCACUAAUAAUUAUUAUUUAAAUGUGAACAAAUAAAGUUUAGCUCGUAUAUAAUGGGUCAGUAGGUACACUCGGAUAUCUCCACUAGAUGGACACCCCUUAGCACCCUCAUUAUCUCCGUUUCAUUAAUAUAAAAAAUCGAAUUGAAUACACGAGAAGUAAAGAGAACAACCCAAACAAAAAACAAAGAACUAGAGACAAGCCCAAAACAAGUACAAACAAUUAGAAAGCAUGAAGAAAUUAGUGCUUUAAACCCCUAAACCGCAAUGUUACUUAACAAAUAAAAUUGUUAUUUAAAAGUUUGAAGUUAUUAUUGAGUUUUAUUUUAGCAAAUUAAUCAUCUCUUAAAUUAAAAAUCUCAAACAUACAUGGAAGAUAAGAUCAAUUAAGCACAUGUUGGAUGAAUUUUGUUCGAAUAAAAAUUAAAACAACUUAUUGUUAUCAACUUAUAAGUUAUAUAUAUGAUGAUGGUGGUGCAGAGGUGAAAACUUAGUUUGAGAUCUCUCCCUACAUCUACUAUGCUUUUACGUUCUAAUGUAUUUUGUGGUAAAAAAAUCAAUUAUAAACUUUUAAGAAAAAUUUUCAUAUGUUAUUAUUUUUUCUCUAAAUUCUAAACUAGCCAGGUUAUCAACAAAACAAAUACCACUAGAGUUUAAGGGAUUAGGAAGCAUAUAUGAAUAUCUCAACUUGGUUAACACGUCGUUUUUAAACAUUUCUCAUCAGGUUGCUGUUUCAAAAGUGAUGCACUGAUGUGAAGAAACAUAUAGGAGAAAAGUGAGAUGGAAAGUUAGUAUAUUGGACAGAGUACAUAGUACAUAGUAGGUUUAUUAAUUAAUUUAUCCAAAUGAUAAUCUCAUUACCAAGCACUAUGUGAUUUAGAUAUGAAUAAAAUGUGAUCAUUUUUCCACCACUAUUACAUAGCAAAUGGGAAAACAUCUCAUUGUGGUUUGAUAUUUUAAAAAACAAUUAUGGUAAUGCAAGUCGUCUCAUAUCCCAUAAUAUUAUCUCAGUCUCAUGGCGACUGAUACAAAAGGACAAAACUAACUUCAUUAAAAUAUGUUCUCUCCUUCCUACACUUUUUAGGUAUAUAUCAUUCAUAUAUUAAUCACUGCAAUUGGUUAGGUGGACUACAAAAACAUAGAUAUAGUCCGAGAUAAAAUUAAGUACGGUUAUAUUUUACGAGACUUUUGAUGUGUUUGAUUACAUUUUCAUGUGUUUCUUUUAGAAAAUAAGUUAUUUUGAAAAAACUAAAGUAUUUUAAACAAUUUUUAGAACAAUCAAUUUCUUGAAAAAUAUUUUUUUCUUAAUUCAAUCUAAGAUGGAUCCUCAAAAUAUUUGAGGGUAGUUCUUUUAUAAAAGUAUUUACACUAGGUUGGUUUAUGAAGUAAAAUAUUGAUCGGUAAAUUCAAGUUUUAAAUUAGAAAAAUUGAAUAUUUUUAAAAAUAGAAGAAUUGGCUAACUAUUUACAACUCAUACCAAAAUUUUAAUACAAAUCCAAAGUAUCUAUUUUUUAUUUUAUUAUUAUUAUUAUUUUUUGCUAUAGGAUGUAAAUACUAUCUGUUUUCUUGUAAAUUUCUCUUACAAUCCUCUACGAGAAAGUCUUAAUUUUUAUAUUUAUGAUUUAUAUUAUAAUAUAAUUAUUUGGAACCAUAUAAUAAAUAAAAGGAAAAUUGUAAAACAUAACAUUUGACAAAAUAUCUUCGUAGAAAAAUUUGUUGUGUAAUCAAUUUUGAGGUUUUGUUAUAUGGAGCGUAAAUAUUUUGUCAAAUUUUCUAUUUGUGAAAAAAAAAACUUAUAGGUAAUUUGAAAGGUAAGUGAUCUUGUUUAAGAUCCAAAUUUCUUUUAUGAAAGUUUAAUUUAGAAUACAUACGAGAAAAAUAGAUUAAUCUAGAAUGAUAAAUGUAAGAUAGGUUUGGGAAGUACCAAUAAAUUUUAGGCAUGUGAUAGACUAUAACUGUGAAGAUAUAUAGUCUAUUGCUAUCUUGAAUGGCUCAUUCUUGUUUGAAAAUGACCUUAUUUAAAACACAACUUUUUUAUAAAAGAAAAUCCCUUGCAUCAUUCAAACAAUCUUACAAGAUCGUAUUAGUGGAAGAUGAGAUAGAAUUCUGACAUGUGUAUUAUUAGUAUACUUGAAUAGUUUCUUAUCUAACUUUUGAGCAAGUAGUGGAGAAGCUGAUCAUGAACCCUAAACCCACCGUAUCAUUCACUAUAUAAAGGAGAUCACUACAUGCAUUCUAAGGCAUCCCUUCUCCAAAUGGCUAUCUUUAGAACUUUCUCUUUCGGUUUUCUUUUGUUGGUGAGUUUAGGCUUAGCUUCUGCGACCAGAAGUCUUCUCACCUAUGAUCCACCACAUCACUCUGUAUAUGAUGAUCAUAACACUAAAGUAGGUUACGGACGUGACCAUCAUGAUCAACCUUAUGGUGGUGGUGUUGGUGCUAGUGGAGGAUAUGGAGCCGGAGCUGGCUCUGGAUAUGGAGGUGUAGGAUACGAACAUGACCAUCAUGAUGGAUACGAACGUGAUCAUGAUCGAUCUUAUGGUGGUAGUGCUGGUGGAGGAUAUGGAGUUGGAGCUGGCUCCUCUCUUGGAGGCUCUGGAUAUGGAAACGUAGAUCAUGGGGUUGGUUAUAGCAAUGGUGGAAGUGGUGGAUAUGGAGCUGGUGUUGGCUCUGACCUUGGUGGUAGCGGAUAUGGAAGCGGUAAUGGCGGAGCAAGUGGAAGUGGAAAUGGUGAUUUAGGAGGACGUGGAAAAGGCUACGGUCGCGGUGGUGUUGGAGGAAAUGGAUAUGGAGGUAGAGGAGACCAUGGCCGAGUAGUAGGCCAUGAUGAUGUAGUUUAUGGUGGUUCCAAAGGAUAUGGAGGUGGAAGUGGCGUCGGUGGGGGAGCUGGUUAUAGCGGUGGAGCAAGUGGAAGUGGAUAUGGAAGUGGUGGUGGAGCUGGAAGUGGAAGUGGCUAUGGCGGAAGUGGUGAAGAAGGAGGAUAUGAUGGUGGAUAUGCACCUUAAAUAAAAGGGGCUAAAACAUCAUCUAAAAGCUUAUCGUUAAAACGAUAAUACUUACCUAAAUAUCAAUGUUUGUUAGCAAAAAUAAAGAAUUUAGGUAAGAAUGUUAUGUUCCUCUUUUGAAUUUUAGUAACUUCAAUGAAUGUGAUAUUAUAAAAACUAGCUGUUUCAUGGGGUUCUAAAGACCAACAAACAUGCAUGAAAUACUGAGUUAAUACAACGUACGCCAUUCCAAACGUGCUAUUUUAUGGAUUCCAAAGUUGACUUUGAACUAAGGACUAAAUAAUCCUUUAACACCUUCUAAACACAAAUUAUUUCACAGACGUCAAGAUCAGUUAAUCAAGUUAAAACUUAAUAGGUCAAAUUCAUCAUUCCAAAAUGACUUGUAGAAAAAUUUUGAGACUUAGUUCGAGUAUGUUAAAUUCUAAUGUUACGAAGUUUUCUUAACAAAAUUGAGAAGGAGGUUGGGAUGGUGGAUAUGCACUCAAAAAUUUCAUCUCAAAAGAGAAUUGAGAAACAUACUUUUCAAGUAACAAACCCAAUAUUCAUAUUAAUUGGGCAACAAAAGUAAGGAAAUAGGGGUAAAAAGAGAACAUUGUUUUCUAAAUAAUCUAUGUCGAGGUUUGCUUCUUGGCCAUGAAAUUCGAACCAAUUAUUCAAUGAUAAGCAAAUUUGGAUUAAGUAUGCAUGUGUAAUGUGACAAAAUUAUUCAACCACAUUCACGUUAUUUUGCUUUCCUAAUCAUAUUUAUGAAAUAAGAUGGUUUCAUCUUUCAAAAUCAAUACACAAUUACAAAAGUAGUAAUACUUCUAUCUUAUAAACAAUGUUGAUCUCUUGAAUUUUCCAUGUAUGGAAUUAUCAACAUUCUCCGCAUAUUGUUCUAGGUUAUUUUUUUAACCAGUGUAAUCAACCUCAAACAAAAACAAAAGUGACAAAACCAAGAAAAUAACAAAAUUUUCACUUAAAUAAAAGAGGGAAAAAAAAUAGCACAUCCUAUAAGCCAAAAUAAGGGCGAGGGGUUUAGGGUUUAGGGUUAUUAGACCAAGACUACCAAAAUGUCUAAUGACUUUUAUAACGAAACAUCUAGUUUAGAUUGAUACAUAUGAUAUGUAGCAUCUUCACAGCAUCCAAGAUCAAGAGUCGAUAUAUUAUCAUGAAAAGAAAGUACAAAAGGGAAGUUAGGGAAAAACUUGGAGUCAACGUUAAGAGAACCAUUAAAAGUUUUAGAAGUUCAAUUAAUAUUUGUAAAAUUUUAAGAGCUAAAUUUUUAUAAUCCAACGUUUGAGGUCUAGUAAUUGCAAUUGACCAUCAUACUUCAGGGAUAAUUUUUGAAAAUUUCCUUUUCUAUUAUUAAAUUAUCAAGAAAAAAAAGUUUAAUGACGGUCAAAAUAAUCCCUGGCGUCCAUAUAAUAAUUUUCAAUAACAUUUCACGACACUAAAAAAAAUUGGAACUUUGCUCACAUUUUUCUAAGAAACGUAAAUAUUUUGUCAACUUUACUAUAUAUAUAUUAUUGUUACUCUUUUAAAAACUUAAGUAAUUUUGAUUCGACCAAUUUUUUUUGCUAUCAACUACAAUUGUUAAAAAAUAUAUAUAUACGAAAAAAAAUGGUUAAUUUUCAUUCACAAAAUAUUUAAAAAAGUAAAAUUUUAAAUUUGUCUCGUAUCUUUUGGAAUAAGGUUUGUCUUUAAUUAAGGAAAUUUAAAAGUUGCUAAAACAUAGCUAAAUUAAACAAAAGUUACUUUUUUAAAGAAAAUUUUUUAAAUAACAAAAUUAUUAAAAAUAUAAUUAAAUUAGAAUUUUUGAAUCUAUUAUUGAUAUAAUUAAGAAAAGUCUAUCAACAUAUAUCAAUUCUAAUAUUUUAUUAUAUUUUAAUUCAUUUGGUUAUAUUUAACAACUCAUUCCCACACAAACUAUAAUUCAAAUUAAAAACAUAUUUGAACAAAUAUUUUGUAUAAUUUAAGUGAUGAAUCGCACUAAUAUUGUUAAAAUGUGUUUAAAAUGUGAUACUUUUCCCACCAUAUUUUAUAGCAAAUGGCAGAUAAUUUAAUGUUUCUUUGAAGCAAGAAUUAGGCAAAGAAGCAUAUAUAUAUAUAUAUAUAUAUAUAUAUAUAUAUAUAUAAUAUAUAUAUAAUAUGUAAUUAAAUUUUAUAUUAUAGUUAUGCAAAAUCGUUUCAUAAGCCACUUCAUCUCUCUCUAUUUCAUGGCAUCAAGUAAACAAAAAGGGAAAAAGGGAAAAAGAGACCUAAUAAAAUAUGUGUUCUUUAAUUGGUGGAUUUUUAAUUAGCAUUAUUAAUUAAUCAAUCAUGUAAAUAUCCUACAAAGAAUAUUUGUUCUUAAGAUAAUUCAUUGCAUGAUGAAUCAAAAUUUUAGGUUGGGUGUUCCUGUAUACUUAAAAACAUUAUUGCAUUACCAAAUUAAAUUUAUACAAACCAAACGAUAUCAUUUUGUUCGUAUUAAGUUCGUUUAAGUUUAGAUGGUAUAUGAAAGUUGGUUUGUUAUGUUUAGGUUUAUUAAACAACAUUGUAUUUAGACGAUAGUGUAAACUUUAAGUUGUUAAACAUGUGUUUUAUCUUAGUCUAAUGUCGUCUAAUACAAAUAUAUUAUGAUACUUUUUAAUAUUUAAAAAUAUUUUUAGAAGUUUUAUAAAUUAAAAUAAUUUUUCUAAAAAUUAAGUUUCAUCAUUUUUAAGAGGAGAAAAGACACCCUAAACAUAAAUUAAAGAAAAUAGAAUGAUAUUGUAUUAAUUACAUAAAUUUAAUCAAAAAUUAAGAACUAAAAAUAAAAUUGUUAUCAAAAUGAAAAUUCAUUUUAACAUUCAAACCAUCCAAAAAAAAGAACAUCUAAUUACUCUAUUGUAACAGAAGUUUUAUCCUCUUAAGAAAAAAAUAGUUUAAUGUUAAAAGAGUAUACAAAACGUGUUAAUAAGUACACAACUCAAUUAGCAUAAAGCUUAAAUUUUAUUUAGAUCAAGACUCAAAUCUAUGAGAUCACAGGAUAUUGCAAAUUUAGGAUUUUAGGUUAUCGUUUAAAGUUCUAAAAUAUUGCAAAAUGGUGCAAGUGGGAAGAUGGGAUCCAAAUCAAGUAUGGAUAUGAUUUAGUUCCAAUUAUAAUUUAAGGUUAUAGUUUAAUGAUUUAGUUACAACACUUUAGUGUUUUGCCUCUUGAACUUCCCUUAAGCUAUAAUCCAUAAUUAAUAAUGUUUUUGAGCACGUGCCUUCUCUUUAAUUGCCACUAAGGUACCACACUAUAGAGAAGAGCUAAUGAAUCCUUGUUUUCUAUAUAAGGAGAUGGAUCAAUGCAUUCUAAGCAUAUACUCCUAUCCAUGGCUAUUUCUAGAGUGUUGUGCAUUGGCUUUCUUCUUUUUGUGGGGUUAGGGUUAGCUUCGGCUGCCCGAACUCUUCUUGAUUAUGAUCCACGUGCACGUCGUUAUGAUUACGAUCGUCCUACUCCAAGAGUAGGAUACGAUCCAAGCCAUCGUGAUCAAUCCUAUGAUAAUGUAUAUGGUGGAAGCUCUAGCAGAGGAUAUGGAGCUGGAGACUCUGCUCUUGGAGGUUCGGGACGAUAUGAAGGUGGUGGAGGACGUGAUUACGGACAUGGAGGCCGAAAUGAUGAUCGUGGUGUUGGAUAUGGAGGUCGAAAUGAUGAUCGUGGUGCUGAAUAUGGAGGUAGAAAUGAUGAUCAUGGUGCUGGAUAUGGAAGUCGAAAUGAUGAUCGUGGUGUUGGAUAUGGAAGUCGAAAUGAUGAUCGUGGUGUUGGAUAUGGAAGUCGAAAUGAUGAUCGUAGUGUUGGAUAUGGAGGCCGAAAUGAUGAUCGUGGAGUUGGAUAUGGUAAUGGUGGUGGAUAUGGAGGUGUAGGAGGACAUGGUGAUGGUUAUGGUAACAAUGGUGGUGGAAGCUAUGGAGAUCGUUAUGGCCCUUCUCUUGGAGGUUCAGGAUAUGGAAGUGGAGGAAAAGGAAGUGGCAAUGGCUAUGACGAUCAUUCUCGUGGAAAUGGUGCGCGUGACAAUAGCUAUGGAGAUUCUCAUGGACAUGAAGGACGUGACAGUGGAUAUGGAAGUGGUGGAGGAGUUAGUGGAGGCUAUGGCAAUGGAGGAGUUCAUGGAGGGGAGCAUGAUAAUAGCAAAGGAAGUGGAGAAGAAGGGGGUAGGGACGGUGGAUAUGCUUUCAAAAAUUCCAUCUCAAAGGAGAAUUGAGAACUCUUUUUCAAGUAAUGAACCCAAUAUCAUAUUAUGUUAACAAAAAAAAUAAAGAAUUGGGUAUAAGAGAAUGUUGUUUUCUAAAUUUAUGUUGAAUUUGUUACCAACGAAUGUCAAAUUCGAAUCAAUGGGUACAAUGAUAAUCAAAUUUAGGUUAUGUUUAUUGUGAUAAAUUUAUUGCACUCUUAUUUGUUUUGUUUCUCUAUAUAUAUUUUUUCUAUAUAUCCAUAUUAAUAUGGGUGGUUUUGGACCGAAGAAAAAAACAUCAUCUAAAAGUUUUUCGUUAAAAUCAUAUAAUUCUUACCUAAUAUCAAUGUUUGUUAGCAAAAAGUAAAAGAAUUUAGGUAAGAAUGUUAUGUUUCUCUUUGAAUUUUAGUAACUUUU
rnacentral:lncRNA from 1 species